AGAGUUUGAUCUGGCUCAGAUUGAACGCUGGCGGCAGGCCUAACACAUGCAAGUCGAGCGGAAACGACACUAUYRAUYCUUCGGAKGAUUUAAUGGGCGUCGAGCGGCGGACGGGUGAGUAAUGCCUAGGAAAUUGCCUUGAUGUGGGGGAUAACCAUUGGAAACGAUGGCUAAUACCGCAUAAUGCCUACGGGCCAAAGAGGGGGACCUUCGGGCCUCUCGCGUCAAGAUAUGCCUAGGUGGGAUUAGCUAGUUGGUGAGGUAAUGGCUCACCAAGGCGACGAUCCCUAGCUGGUCUGAGAGGAUGAUCAGCCACACUGGAACUGAGACACGGUCCAGACUCCUACGGGAGGCAGCAGUGGGGAAUAUUGCACAAUGGGCGAAAGCCUGAUGCAGCCAUGCCGCGUGUAUGAAGAAGGCCUUCGGGUUGUAAAGUACUUUCAGUUGUGAGGAAGGGUGUGUAGUUAAUAGCUGCGCAUCUUGACGUUAGCAACAGAAGAAGC
rnacentral:rRNA from 1 species